GACGAACGCUGGCGGCGUGCUUAACACAUGCAAGUCGAACGGUAAGGCCCUUCGGGGUACACGAGUGGCGAACGGGUGAGUAACACGUGGGUGAUCUGCCCUGCACUUCGGGAUAAGCCUGGGAAACUGGGUCUAAUACCGGAUAGGACCACUGCCUGCAUGGGUGGUGGUGGAAAGCUUUUGCGGUGUGGGAUGGGCCCGCGGCCUAUCAGCUUGUUGGUGGGGUGAUGGCCUACCAAGGCGACGACGGGUAGCCGGCCUGAGAGGGUGACCGGCCACACUGGGACUGAGAUGCGGCCCAGACUCCUACGGGAGGCAGCAGUGGGGAAUAUUGCACAAUGGGCGCAAGCCUGAUGCAGCGACGCCGCGUGAGGGAUGACGGCCUUCGGGUUGUAGACCUCUUUCAGCACCGACGAAGCGCAAGUGACGGUAGGUGCAGAAGAAGGACCGGCCAACUACGUGCCAGCCGCCGCAGUAA
rnacentral:rRNA from 1 species